UCGGGGACGAAGGAGGUGGCUCCCAUCUUUUUGUCUUAUUUAUAAGUUUGUUCAUGUCAUUUUUUCUUAUUUCUCUUCAUACCAUAUUCAUUGGCCAUUUUUCGUACGUCAUUUUUCUUUUUUUCUUUUCACUUUUUUAUUUGUUUUUAGUUGUGUUUGCAAGUUUUCAAAACAUACACAAGAGUAUGGCCAAUGCAUGCUUGGUUUGUAAUCAGCCAAAGGUAUUCUAUCAUAGAUCUGACAGAAGAAUUAGAAAUUUCAAAACAAAGAUGAUCAAAGGUUUUCAUCAUUCAAUGGUAAUUGUUUAUUUAUUUCUUACUUCUUCCAUAAUAUACCUUUUUCACUCAAAGAAAAAAUAAUCAAGUGGUAUCCUGCUAUUUUAAACAAACCUUGAAGACCCACUUGGAAAUUUGCAUGCAAGCUAUAUCGUCUGGCGACAGAAGUUAUGAUUUUUUUAUAGAGGAUCAGGAUGUUAAGUCGCAUAUUUAUGGAGCUUACUGGAAAGCUUUUGUGUGAGCACACGAGAUAGAGUUUGGUGAUGUUGUUUGUUUUGAGUCUGUAGCUUGGGGUAAUCAGUUCAACAUUACAGUGUUUGAUGAAGAAGGAAAUAAGAAAAUGGACAAUCACAGUCCUGGGAUAAUGCUAGUCCUGGACGAUGUUUGUGUGAUUUCCAAGAUAUUUCUUUCAUAGACUUGCGUAGUCUAACCGAUGAUGCUAUCUGAGGGCUUGUCGGCACCCUAUCAAGGCGACGUAGGACUGGACAUGGCCUUAUUGAUGUGGCAAUCGGUGUGCCUAUCGGGAAUCAUCUCGUGCACACGCUAACUGACGAAGAUAUCGAAGAGAAUGAAUUUGCUAUUCCGACAGUGUUCAUUGACUCUCACGAAAUGGAUGAAGAAGGACAAGUUCUUUUAUGAAAUAGUUUCCUAAGUGUACCCAUGACUGGCACAUAUACAAGGAGCAACAACAACGAGACUAUGAUAGAUGAAGUCUGGCAUGAUUUUUGUUAUACCCACAGUCUCAAGAAUCGGGAGUGUUGUUUUGUUCAAAGUUGAGAAAGGACGGCAGGAUGACAACAUGUUCCUAAUAGUUGAUGUCAUCGAAAAGUGAAAGACAUUUUUUAACAGUAUACAUGUUUCUAUUUUUUUCCUUUUUUAAAAUUAUUAUUUUUUCUUUUUUUCACUUUUUUGU